UCUCCGUAGGUGAACCUGCGGAGGGAUCAUUACCGAGAAAAGGCGCUCUGCGUCCGGCCUCCAACCCUUUGUUCGUCUCAACCAUGUUGCCUCGGGGGCGACCCGGCCCUCUGGGCGUCGGGGCCCCCGGUGGCUCACACCUCAACUCUUGCAUCUGUGCGUCUGAGUAACAUAUUGAAUCAAUCAAAACUUUCAACAACGGAUCUCUUGGUUCUGGCAUCGAUGAAGAACGCAGC
rnacentral:misc_RNA from 1 species